rnacentral:rRNA from 1 species
GACGAACGCUGGCGGCGUGCUUAACACAUGCAAGUCGAACGGAGUGGCGAACGGGUGAGUAACACGUGAGCAACCUACCUUUCACAGGGGGAUAGCCGCGGGAAACGGCGAUUAAUACCGCAUGGUCAAAGAUGGGCUCGCGUCUGAUUAGCUAGUUGGAAGGGUAAAGGCCUACCAAGGCGACGAUCAGUAGCCGGUCUGAGAGGAUGAACGGCCACAUUGGAACUGAGACACGGUCCAACCUCCUACGGGAGGCAGCAGUGGGGAAUAUUGCACAAUGGGGGAAACCCUGAUGCAGCGACGCCGCGUGAGCGAAGAAGGUAUUCGAAUCGUAAAGGUCUGUCCUAUGAGAAGCGGUAGCAUAGGAGGAAGCCCCGGCUAAAUACGUGCCAGCCGCCGCGGUAAUUC